CUCACUUUCUCUCUUUCACUAUCAUCUUUUUUAAAACUCUCUCAAGUUUUCUCUCAACCUUCAACCUCAGGAACACUAAGGAGGCUUGGAAGCAUUUAAGUCUUGAUCUAGGAAGGGUUUUCCCUAAGUUGGUUAGGGUUUUUGAAAGGUUUUGAAGGAUCCAAAGCUAAUAGGAAGAUCCACACCUUAAGCAAGAACACCAAAGAGUAUUGGCUAGCGUAACUAGACUGAACGUUGGAGGGUGAAAUUAUGCUAAGUGCUAAGGA